GUUUUUUAAGUUGUUUACAACAUUCGCGUCCGUGUUGUAUCAGAUAUACAAACUCUCGCCUUCGCCUCGAGUUUGUAUAUCUGAUACAACACGGCCGCUCAUGUUGUAAACAUUACAUACC
rnacentral:miRNA from 1 species